AGGAAGGUUCUCCAGAGAACAACAGACAGUGGAAGGUUCUCCUCAGAACAACAGACAGAGGAAGGUUCUCCUCAGAACAACAGACAGAGGAAGGUUCUCCUCAGAACAACAGACAGAGGAAGGUUCUCCAGAGAACAACAGACAGAGGAAGGUUCUCCUCAGAACAACAGACAGAGGAAGGUUCUCCUCAGAACAACAGACAGAGGAAGGUUCUCCAGAGAACAACAGACAGAGGAAGGUUCUCCUCAGAACAACAGUCAGAGGAAGGUUCUCCUCAGAACAACAGACAGUGGAAGGUUCUCCAGAGAACAACAGACAGAGGAAGGUUCUCCUCAGAACAACAGACAGAGGAAGGUUCUCCUCAGAACAACAGUCAGAGGAAGGUUCUCCAGAGAACAACAGUCAGAGGAAGGUUCUCCAGAGAACAACAGUCAGAGGAAGGUUCUCCUCAGAACAACAGACAGAGGAAGGUUCUCCUCAGAACAACAGACAGAGGAAGGUUCUCCUCAGAACAACAGACAGAGGAAGGUUCUCAUCAGAACAACAGACAGAGGAAGGUUCUCCUCAGGACAACAGACAGAGGAAGGUUCUCCAGAGAACAACAGACAGAGGAAGGUUCUCAUCAGAACAACAGACAGAGGAAGGUUCUCCUCAGAACAACAGACAGAGGAAGGUUCUCCUCAGAACAACAGACACAGGAAGUGGUUUGAUUUUAAUUAAGGAAAGACACUAUCUGCAUCUCUUACUUUCUCUCUCUUUUUUUUUAAUAGAAAUCAUUUUUUGCACAAUAUGAAAAAAUGUUCCUCACAUCUAAGACGAACUAACAUGGUAAAGGAAGUAAAGAAAGGAAGGAGAAGCAUUCAGCAUGGUGGUGUAUAAAUGAGUCUGAUCAGUAAAGACAGACUUCAUCACAGUAGGCAAUGGGAUGGAGACUGGUCCAGGGUCCUUUGUCUUGGGAAUGUCCACGGUAUUUAGCUGUGGGGGAAAUGAGGGAUUGAUAUGAGUUUCAUUUGUUGUUUUGUGAAGUUAUAA
rnacentral:lncRNA from 1 species